rnacentral:lncRNA from 1 species
GGUUAUCUUAAGACUUGAGGAUAUCUGGCCUAUGUCAAGAGACAGAUGGUGAAAAAGUUGGAGGAUAGAUAUAUUAUUGCUCGCUUUAUAGGGUACCCAAAAGAAUUCAUGGGAUACUACUUCUACUUUCCACAAGAUCACAAUAUGAUUGUGAGUCGAAAUAUCAUGUUUCUGAAAAAAUAGUUUAUCCAGGAUGGCGACAGUGGGAGGUUAGUGAA